AUAAACACAUCACAUGGUGGGUGAGCAAUUGCCACAGAGGGUAACAGUGAAUGGGGGAACAUCAGACUGGUGACCUGUCACUAGUGGGGUUCCACAGGGCUCCAUCUUAGGCUAUGCUCUUCACCGUCUUCAUAAAUGACUUGGACACAGGACUGGAGGGGAUACUAAUCAAGUUUACAGAUGACACAAAACUGGGAGGAGCUGUUGACUCCCUCAAAGGCAGGGAGGCCCUGCAGAGAGACCUCAACAAAUCAGAGGACUGGGCAAUCACCAAUCGUAUGAAGUUCAACAAGGGAAAGUGCCAGAUUCUGCACCUGGGAUGAGGCAACCCUGGAUGUUUGUACAGACUGGGGAGUGGAAAGCAGUGCCAUGGAAAGGGACCUGGGAGUCCUGGUUGAUGGCAAGUUGAAUAUGAGUCAGCAGUGCCCUGAAAGCCAGGAGGGCCAACCGUGUCCUGGGGGCACAGUCAGGCAAAGCAUCUCCAACCAGUCGAGGGAGGGGAUUGUCCCACUUUGCUCUGCACUGGGGCAGCCUCACCUUGAAUAUUGUGUGCAGUUUUGGGCACUGCAAUAUAAGAAAGGUAUUAAGCUCUUAGAGAGUGUCCAAAGGAGGGCAAUGAAGAUGGUGAAGGGCCUUGAGUGGAAGCCUUAUGAGGAGCCGCUGCGGUCACUUGGUCUGUUCAGCCUGGAGAAGAGGAGACUGAGGGGAGACCUCAUUGCAGUUUACAACUUCUCAUAAGGGGAAGAGGAGGGACAGGCACUGAUCUCUUCUCUGUGGUGACCAGUGACAGAACCCAAGGGAAUGGCCUGAAGUUGUGUCAGGGGAAGUUUAGGGUGAAUAUUAGAAAAAGGUUCUUCCCCCAGAAUUUGGUUGGGCACUGGAACAGGUUUCCCAGGGAAGUGGUCACAGCACCAACCCUCAUAUAGUUCAAGAAGCAUUUGGACAGUGCUCUCAGGCCCAUGGUGUGACUCCUGGGAAUGGUCCUGUGCAGGGCUAAGAAUUGGACUCAAUGAUCCUUUUGAGUCCCUUCCAACUCAGCAUAUUCUGUGGUUCUGUGAAAUAUAUCUGAAACAAUCCUCCAGAAGAAUAGAAACGUACGAGGAGGAAUAAAGUGUUAUUGGCUCAAGAAGUCUUAUCCAUGAGCAAUGUGAAACUUGCUCUUAAAAAAAAAUACUAUAAAAUUUGCGAUGCCUUUCUUUUGAGGAAACUAAUGCUCAGAAAACUAUUUCAUGCUUUUAAGCAAAAUUCACACGUUAGGCAAUUCUUUUCAGCUUAGUGGACCAAUAGUCUUGAUUUUAAUUGGACUUCUUUAUACUAGCUUCAAAUAGUAAAAGACUCAUCAGUUUUCCACUGUAAACUAUUGAUAUUGGCUACAUUAAUAUCACAUGUACUAAAGCUCUGUGUUGCCUUUGUGUAACAUGUCAAAUGUGCUUCCCAGCAGCACUGGAUUUAGCAGAGAAGCAGAAUAGGCAAGGGAUGAAGUGGGCAGAUACUGAAGUCUGCCACUCUGUCGGUGUUCAAAAGUCCCAUCCACUUGCAUAGGUGAUGCUGUUGAGCUGCAAUCCAUUUUUAGAAACACAUAGUUACUAGAAUACAGCUUCUGGGUAUUCAGCAGCAGAAAUGUGGGAAAUGCGGCAGGUAUCAACAUCACCUGCAAGACUAUCACCCUCAGUGGACCACAGCAAAGGAGUAUGAAGAGCCCAGCAACCCUACAACAGAUUACCAGAGUAGCUUUCUUUUUGAUAUAUUGCAGAUCCCUCUGAUUUCAGAAGAAAUACUCUUAGUUGCUGGAGGGAAGUAGUCAGCCCUUCUUUCCUCAUCUAUGGCUCUGGAGGAAACAGCAAGUGCAUCUCCAGAACUCUCAAAAAAUGGCAGAGGAGCAGCUAGGAGAACAGCCCAUGGCAUGCUGAGCUGCAGCAGCUUCCUCUCAUGCUCUCCAUGAUACUCUCUUACCAGUGUUUGGGGUUGCCACCUAUAUGGACCACAAACUAAGUAAUAGAAAUGUCACCUUUCUCAUAGUCUCAGUGCAUCCUGCUUGUGCUACUACAAAGACAGGAAGGAAUACCGUGGGCUCAUUAAUUCUUUUUACAGCUCUCAAACAAAAGAACAGUCACUAAGCAGAAGGAACCAGCAACAUACCUUCUUGAUGCACAGAGCAUAUUGCUGAUCCAGUGCUGUUGUUUCCUAGGAGCUGAGCAACCCUGUUGGUCUACCAGAAUUUUCUAAGUGUCAUUUUUUAAUAGCUCCUGAAUAACUCCUUUCACAAAUAUUCACUCAACUAAGCUAUUAGGUUUUGAAACCAGAAAAUUUGUCUUUUAUCUCUGUAAUAGUGGAGUUUAUGUUGAGAGAAAGUUUUAAACAAGCAUUUCUAAUUUCACUGCAGCUAGAAAUGUCUGCCAUUGUGUUACGGCCAGUAAUAUGCUUUGACUAGUGUGCUUCACUUGCACCAACCUUAAGUUCACAAUUAAAAUAAAAAGCAGGGAAACAAUAAAUAUUGGAAAGACUUUCUGGAUUCCACAUCAGCAUUUCCAUGUUUUCUCCAGUCACUGCUAAACAACCACUCCUCAGUUCUAAAUGAAAGCUUGUGUCUUUUCAUUGACACUGAUCCCUCCUUUUUGGAUUAAAUGUGUUUCAUCUAUAACUCUGUCAAUUUAGACAUGACAGACAGACAGAUUUAAGCAACCUAAUUUCCAAACACCUCAAACCACUGUCUCCUGUAUCCUACUGACCAGACAAGAAGAGUAAAACCACAAUCUCUGUGCAGAGGAACAGUAUAGAUAUUUGGACUUUGUGAAUUUGGGAAACAGUAAGUAGGUAAGUUAAUGACACACUUCUGCUGAUUCUUCAGGGAGGAUUUCUUCAUUAUUUAAUAUUAUUGUUAUCUCAAUUAUUCAAAUGUUAUUACUGCUAGCAAUGGCUAUGUAUUGGGUCUCACUGAGUUGGAGUUCAUUUCCCCAUUAAUAGCCCUCACAGUGCUGUGCUUUGCAUUGGUAGCUAGAAGGGUGUUGAUAACACAUCAGUGGUUUUGCUACAGCUGAGCGCAGCAUCAACACUGUAACAUUCCUUCCUCAACUGAGGGCAAGAUCCUGGGAGGGGACCCAAGUAGGCCAAAUCUGACCCACCACUCUCUGGGCUCAGCCCUCCAGCCGGUUCCUAACCCAGCACAGAGUGCCCCUGUCCAAGCUGUGGGCUGCCAGCUUUUUCAGGAGUAUGCUGUGGGAGAUGGUGUCAAAGGCUUUGCUGAAGUCCAGGCAGACCACAUCCACAGUCUUACCCUCAUCCACAAGGCAGGUCACUUGAUCACAAAAGGAGAUCAGUUUGGUCAGACAGGACCUGCCCCUCCUAAACCUGUGCUGUCUGGGUCUGAUCCCUUGUCCAUCUUGUAGCUGUUGUGUGAUUGCACUGAGGAUGAUCUGCUCCAUAAUCUUGCCAAGCACUGAGGUCAGGCCUGUAGUUUCCUGGGUCCUCCUUCCAGCCCUUUUUGUGGAUUGCAUGACAUUUGUCAGCUUCCAAUCAUCUGGGACCUCCCCAGUGAGCCAGGACUGUUGGUAGGUGAUGGAGAGCGGCUUGGCAAGCUCUUCUGCCAGCUCCCUCAUCACCCUAGGAUGGAUCCCAUCUGGUCCCACAGACUUGUGGGGAUCCAAGUGGCUCAGCAGGUCGCAAACUGUUUCCUCCUGGAUUACAGGGGGGCUAUUCGGCUUCUUAUCUCUGUCUACAAGCUUCAGAAGCCACCCAGUCUAAGAUGCUCAGCUAGGAUUUUCCAAAGCCAGUGAAGUAUAUCUAAAAUAUAUAUUGUGUGUGUGUGUGUGUGUGUAUAUAUAUAUAAAAUCAUAUAUACAUAUAUAUAUAUAUCUAAAAUACAUAUUUUUUAAUAAUCA